UGUUAAAAAUUUCAUCCUUCUGUACUAUUUAAAACUGAUGUGGUUAACGAAAUAACCAGAAAGUGAUACUUAAUAUGCCACAUGUAUAACAUAUUGGCAUAUAAAGAUCAGCUUUUAACAGUAGAAAUAAAUGAAAUUUUUAAUA
rfam:Gossypium hirsutum cultivar TM-1 chromosome 15, whole genome shotgun sequence